rnacentral:rRNA from 1 species
AGGGUGCGAGCGUUGUCCGGAAUUAUUGGGCGUAAAGAGCUCGUAGGCGGUGUGUCGCGUCGGCCGUGAAAACCUGCAGCUUAACUGUGGGCUUGCGGUCGAUACGGGCAUCACUGGAGUUCGGCAGGGGAGACUGGAAUUCCUGGUGUAGCGGUGAAAUGCGCAGAUAUCAGGAGGAACACCGGUGGCGAAGGCGGGUCUCUGGGCCGAUACUGACGCUGAGGAGCGAAAGCGUGGGGAGCAAACAGG